UUCGAAACCGCCCUUGCCGCGCUGGAGGGGGGUACCUUCUGCACGGCCACCGCCUCCGGGAUGGCGGCCACGGGGUUGGCGCUAGA
rnacentral:SRP_RNA from 1 species